rnacentral:rRNA from 1 species
UACGUAGGGUCCAAGCGUUGUUCGGAAUUACUGGGCGUAAAGCGCGCGUAGGCGGGUUUGCAAGUCGAUUGUGAAAGCCCUGGGCUUAACCUGGGAAUUGCAGUCGAAACUGUAAAUCUUGAGUGCCUGAGAGGAUGGCGGAAUUCCCGGUGUAGUAGUGAAAUACGUAGAUAUCGGGAAGAACACCUGAGGCGAAGGCGGCUAUCUGGCGGUGCACUGACGCUAAGGCGCGAAAGCGUGGGGAGCAAACAGG